AUAAACGAAACUUGGCAUAAUUAUAAGUCCUUCUCUACAUGGCCACCACCAAUGGUGACACACUUCUCCCAUCGCUUUAUGCAACUGUGAAGACCUCAUCUCAGCCCACCAGAUAAGAAGUCCUU